AUUGAACGCUGGCGGCAGGCCUAACACAUGCAAGUCGAGCGGAUGAAGGGAGCUUGCUCCUGGAUUCAGCGGCGGACAGGUGAGUAAUGCCUAGGAAUCUGCCUGGUAGUGGGGGAUAACGUCCGGAAACGGGCGCUAAUACCGCAUACGUCCUGAGGGAGAAAGUGGGGGAUCUUCGGACCUCACGCUAUCAGAUGAGCCUAGGUCGGAUUAGCUAGUUGGUGGGGUAAAGGCCUACCAAGGCGACGAUCCGUAACUGGUCUGAGAGGAUGAUCAGUCACACUGGAACUGAGACACGGUCCAGACUCCUACGGGAGGCAGCAGUGGGGAAUAUUGGACAAUGGGCGAAAGCCUGAUCCAGCCAUGCCGCGUGUGUGAAGAAGGUCUUCGGAUUGUAAAGCACUUUAAGUUGGGAGGAAGGGCAGUAAGUUAAUACCUUGCUGUUUUGACGUUACCAAAAGAAUAAGCACCGGCUAACUUCGUG
rnacentral:rRNA from 1 species